rnacentral:lncRNA from 1 species
ACCCAAAUCACUAUUUCUAAUCAAAUUCUCGUCUCCGUAUUUUGCUUAAUCCUCUGCAAAAACACUCAAAAUCGAAUUCGCAGCGAGGUUUUAUUUAUCGACGACACCCAUUUGGGAUAUCUUCCUCGACGGAGAACGACGAUUGAGGAUAGAAAACUCGGUUUACAGAUUAUUGAAAAACAGUCACAAUGGUGAAGACGACGAAGGGAGGCAAAACGAUGAACCCUACCGAUUCCUACCGCAAAGAGAUCCGCAAAAAGGAAUUGAAGCGGGUAAUUGUCCGUUUCUAUUCUCUAUUGAUGUAAUUUCCCCCCCCCUUGUUGAUUAUGUAUUUUGCCGUCCUUUCGAUUUUUUAGGUUAUUUGUGCAAUAUGAAAUCAUGUGUGGGGAUAUUGUUGGAACAAUUUUUUUUUUCUUUCUUUUGUUUUGGAUUCUUCGAUUUUGCUUUAUAAAUUCAAGUUUAGUCAGUGUAAGUUUUCACUCAAUUGAAAUAAUUGUUUUUUUUUUAAAUAUAUUCUAUUAUAGCAUUAGGGAAGCUGAUUAACAUCGGUCGUUUGUUUUGCUAUACCUAUGGAUGUUUCUGUAUGAAAAAAGUUGAGAAAUUGGGCAUGUGUUGUAGUUGAGUUUUAUUUCUACUGCACAUUUUUAGAGUGAUGAUCGCGUAACAGUUUUAAUGUUUUAUGAUUCAAAUUUGUUGCUUGUGUCGUAAAAAGUUUCAAAUUGUUAAGUAUUUUGAAGAAAUGUUGUGCAUUCUAGAGCUUCUAAAAUCAUUGUUGAAUUUAUUGUACAGAACAAGAAGGAGAGAAAGAAGGUUCGGUCUGUUAUAUUCCCACUGUCAUGUUCAGUCUCUUUUCAU